GUGCCAGCCGCCGCGGUAAUACCGGCAGCACGAGUGAUGGCCGCUAUUAUUGGGCCUAAAGCGUCCGUAGCCGGCCGGGCAAGUCCGUCGGGAAAUCCACUCGCUUAACGGGUGGGCGUCCGGCGGAAACUGCUCGGCUUGGGACCGGAGGACCCGAGGGGUACGUCCGGGGUAGGAGUGAAAUCCCGUAAUCCCGGACGGACCGCCGGUGGCGAAAGCGCCUCGAGAAGACGGAUCCGACAGUGAGGGACGAAAGCUGGGAUCUCGAACCGGAUUAGAAACCCUUGUAGUCC
rnacentral:rRNA from 1 species